CAAAAAAAACCGAAGAAAACUUUUCUCGAUGGUGGUCAGCAAACGUCGCGCGUUUGAUUUACGGUGGAAGAUUUUUGCAAAUUGUUCCGAUUUUAUCGCGUUGAAACCGGGUAAAAAGUAGUGUAUUCGAUUCGGUUUCGGUGGCGGAACGGAAAUUGUGUGGACAAUAUUGGUGGCUUUGGAGAAUAAGUGCUGAAUUUCGGGAGGAUGCGACGUAAGGCUGCAGAGAAGGCGAAAAGUUCGCCGGAAAAGGUGUCCCGGAGAACAACCCGCCGUGGACGGAAAUCUCCUUCGGCAAGUCCGGAAAGAGAGGAAUCAGCUGCCAAGGAACAGUCUGAUGAGGAGCAGCAAGCAGCAGAACCUGCGGAACAACGUAAAUCGGAUAAUAGUGGAUCCGAGCCGGAGGAAGAAGAGGCACCAAGAAGAGGACGUGCUCGAAGAUCUUCACGGGCUAAGGCAUCGGAGGAGAAAACAAUCACCAGACCUCGUAGAAGUUCCAGACGCAAGUCCCAAUCGGUAGAGCCUUCAGAUAGGGAAGAGAGCGAAAAAGAGGAAAACGGUGAGAACUCUAAUGAAAAAGACGCUGCCGUUAUGGAAACGAUUCCGGAAGAGAAACCAGAAGAAGUUCAAGAACCCGUUUCUAAGUCGCCUGAACCUAAGAAAGAUGAUAAUUCACAAGAUGCAAAGGAAGAAGUAGUCAUAGAAGAGACUAAAACCGAACAUAAGGUUAUUAAUAAAGAGAAAUCAGAAGAUGAAGAAACUACAGACAAGCAAAACGGUGAACAGGAUGAAACCGAAAAACCAGUAGAAAGUCAGAAGGACGUCGAAGAAUCUAAACCAGAACUUUGCGACCAGUCUCGUGAAUCUGGAGAGGUUGAUUCGGAGAGUGUUCAGGAAGAAGAAAGCCAACAGGCUUCAGAGGAGAAACCGACCAAGGAAGCAUCCCCUGAAAAGGAAGCUUCUGAGGAGGAAUCUUCUUCGGAAAAAGAUAUCCGAAAAUCGGAAUCACCUAAGCCAGUGCGAAAAUCCCGUUUCAGGUCACGUACUAAAUCACCCGUUGCACGAGAAUUGCCCUCUGAGCCAACGCAGCAGGAUAAUGGCGAUGACAAAAAUGAUGACGAAUUGGAAGCUGGAGAAAUCAAAGACGAUGAUACCCCAAAACGAAGCCCUGAGAAAAAGCCAACGGAAGAGAAGCCUUUACGAAGGCCCUUACAGCGCAAAAGGCGAUGGUUAUCGUCAAAAUCAGACACUAAGGCAUCUGUAAUAACGAUAUCCACUGAUUCAUUGAAAAACAUUAUCUCCGAACCGGUUCAACCAGUUCCACUGUCGGACGUGAAACUUGAGUCCUCCCCGGAACCGGAGGAAAUCGUCGACAGCAAUGAGGAGCAGCCGUCCGGAGAGCGACGUCGUUCCAAAGAUAAGCUAUCAAUCGAAUCCUUAGAAAAAGAAAACAUCGAAGAGCAGGACCACAAGGCCCCCAAACCGACGGAAAAACUGCUGGGCAAUCGCAAGAUUAGCAUCGUUAGUGACGAUGGAAACACGGCUAUUGCCAGACCUCCGAGUCCGGCGAAGCACCAUUCCAGCAACAUAUUGUACAUUACCAAUUUGGUCCGGCCGUUUACGGUGCUGCAGCUGAAAAGCCUGCUGGCACGUACCGGCAAAAUAGUCGAGAACGGGUUCUGGAUCGACAAGAUCAAGUCGAAGUGCUUCGUGAAGUACGAAACCGAAGAUGAAGCCGUGGAGACCCGUCACGCAUUGCACGGUGUCCGGUGGCCGGCAUCGAAUCCGAAAUGCUUGCACGUCGAUUUCGGAACCGAAUCGGCCAUGGAGAAGGCGAUCAUUUCCACGCUGGAUGACGCUGGAACCACGCGCAUCACGAUGGACAGCGCAAAGGACGCCAAAGAAUUCGGAUGGAGCCGUGAUUCUUUGAAACAGGAAGAGGAGACCCACGUGGUACGACCGGUGCGUGAAUGGGAUCUUGGAAAGAAAGAUACAUUCGACCGGGAAGACCGUGGACGGGCAGAAGGAGACAGAGGCGGUCGGGAGAGGGAGCGAGAGCGGGAACGCGAUCGGGAUCGCGAACGCGAGAGGGACCGGGAUCGGAGCGGACGUGUCGACGAGGGACGUGGGGAUCGUGGCCGGAGGCGUUCAUCGGAGCGCGAAUUCGGACGGGAUAGAGAUCGAAGACGCGGCAGCACCAGUGUUUCGCCAGCGAGGAAGUUCAAAAAGAAGGAAAAUGAACCACCCAUCAGGCUGUUGGAUGAUCUUUUCAGGAAAACUAAAACAACACCUUGCAUAUACUGGUUGCCACUGACAGCCGAACAGAUCACCGUUAAGGACGAGCAACGCCGCAAGGAGUUGGCAGAGACCCAGCGCCGCCAGGAGGAGUCACGUAAGCAGGAGGAAGAGCGUCGCAAAGAGCGUGAACGACGUGAUCGUGAGCGCCGAGAGCGGCCACGUUCCAACUCGAGAGAUCGUCGUCGUCGUUCGCGAUCUCGGGACGACAAUAGGCGUAGGCACAGAUAGAUUCCUAACAACGGAAAACGCCACCGCUGAUAAUGCGGAAGCGAGGGAGCAAGUAAUAGAACUGAGAUCGCGAACGGAUCAAAAGGACGUUGCAGAUACGAUCGGUGAGAGAGAAAGAGAAAGGGAGAAACAUGUUUUGGGAGAUCCCGUUCGUCAUUUCUUGUCACCGGCGACGAAGUCAAAUAGGGUCUGUGCAGAAUGUUUUUGUUUCUUAUAAUCUUUGCUUCUUACCUUAGGAUUUAGCGUUUCCCGGUCUUUGAUCCAAGUUUUUCGAUUCUGUAUUCCUUUUUAUUCUACAGUCAACAGCUGUUCACGUUUUUUGGAGCGAAUUUAAACGUUCGCUGUCAGUUUUCGAACUCUACCUUUCUUGAGUUUACUCUGACUACCCAACAUUAUUAUCUUUUUAAGUUUAUUACAGGAAGUUAGAUUUGAUCGAUCGUAUUUUCCCAUCUAUAUCUAGCAAACGAUUGUUUCGUUUUUGGAAGCAAAACAGUUUUUGCUAUGAUACUUCAUUCUUACCCAAUGAACCUUAUUCAAUUCAUUAAUAUUUUUACGAAAUGAGCUACAUUUUAUAAUUCAUGGAGAAAUUAUAAGUACAUAUAUAGAUAGGAAUAGUACAGCCGCGCAGUAAACGUGUAGUGUCCAGCACCAGUUCGUCCAAUCCUAAAUGAUAUCUAGCGGAAACGGAGUUGCAGUUACACAAUGACCGAGACAGCCAAACAAGACCCUAAUCACCAAAAACAAAACCCAGCAUCAAGAAAAUUACAGCUCAAUAAGCAACCUUCUCUUCUGUAUAUUGUGUAUUUCUAUCAGAAGCUGAACUCGCUCGAGAAGGCACGCACAUGAUCUCUGGGAUAUCGUGGUUUAGAUUCUACAACCACACUGGUGAGCGAUGUCCACUCCACUCAAUCUGAUCUGGGUCUAUGUUCUCAAAUGCAGGCGAUAUCGUUAUGAGGAGAAAGAGGAUCACUUUGCCAUCAUCUAUCCGGUCAAGUUCUGUCAUCAAAUGAUGUUGCUAAUAAGAGCCAGCUGCACUUAUACACGAUACAAAAACACGAGAAAGGCUAACACAGUUUGACUGGAUACAGGACUGAAUCGAAGCACAGUAACCGUCAUGAUUGCAGCGCCUUAACCACCACAAUUUGCUGUGUCAAUCCGGAGCAAGUCAGCACUGCAGCAAGCUUCUCGUGGAAACUCGCCUGUCUCCGAUUUGUGACUGGGGAAAACAUCGUUGGAAGCUACUUGCUUUGAAGGAUGGAAACAAUCGAAUGAACUAAAUGUAGCCAACCCCAAAUGAAUGCAGAAUAAUUAGAAUUGGUAGUGAACAAAAUGUCAACUAUUCGUUUAUCUCGUAACACAAAUAGUAGAGUUCUUUUUCUUUGUGUUGGGUGACAAAAUGUGUGAAGUGGCACCAAUGCAAACUUUUUACGAACGAAUGAAUUCGCCAGUAAGUAAUUGGUAGUCUAACCGUAUUUGGUAAACUUUGAUUCCUACUCAAGGGAUGAGAAUAAAGCAUAAACAUUAGUAAUCCAA